rnacentral:ncRNA from 1 species
ACCAGCCUUCAGGGUAGGGUGCAAUUCCCGACCGGCGGUAAUGACGAACGCACGUCUGAGCCCGCGACUCGCUCUCUGCUUUUUAGGUAGCGACUGACUUGGUGAAAAUCCAAGGCCGACGGUACAGUCCGGAUGGGAGAAGGUAUUU